AGACGUCUACAUUAGAUACCCCCGGUAGUCCCAGCCGUAAACUAUGCUCGCUAGGUGUCAGGCAUGGCGCGACCCGUGUCUGGUGCCGCAGGGAAGCCGUGAAGCGAGCCACCUGGGAAGUACGGCCGCAAGGCUGAACUUAAAGGAAUUGGCGGGGAGCACCACAACGGGUGGAGCCUGCGGUUUAAUUGGACUCAACGCCGGGAAGCUCACCGGAUAAGACAGCGGAAUGAUUGCCGGGCUGAAGACUCUGCAUGACUAGCUG
rnacentral:rRNA from 1 species